CCUACGGGAGGAGCAGUGGGGAAUCUUGCGCAAUGUUCGCUAGGGUGACGCAGCGACCCCGCGUGCAGGACGAAGGCCUUCGGGUUGUAAACUCCUUUUCUGGGGGACGAAUAAGGUCAGUAGGUAAUGGCUGACCGAUGACGGUACCCCAGGAACAAGCGCUGGUGAACUUCGUGCCAGCAGCCGCGGUAAGACGAAGGGCGCAAGCGUUAUCCGGGAUUACUGGGCGUAAAGCGCGUCUAGACGGCCAAUCAAGUCAACGUUGAAGGCCGUUGUAUAAGCUGAGACAUGUACGUCGAAACUGAUAGGCUCGAGGAACGUAGAGCAUGGCGGAACUCUCGGAGUAGUGAUGAAUUGCGUACAGACCGAGAGGGAUCGAGAUGCUGAAGACAGCCUUCUGCUCGCUUCCUGACGCUGAAGCGCUAAGAUCAGGAGAGCGACGGGGAUUAGAUACACAGGUAGUCGUGGCUUCAAUCGAUGUGGGCUUGGUGUCGCAUCCC
rnacentral:rRNA from 1 species